ensembl:snRNA U6 U6 spliceosomal RNA
GUGCUCAUUUGGGGAGCACAUAUACUAAAAACUGGAAUGAUACAGACAAGAUUAGCAUGGCCCCUGCACAAGGAUUACACUGAAAAAUAGCUUACUUCAGACUUUC